rnacentral:lncRNA from 1 species
GGUGUAUAGGUACAAAGUUUUUACUUUUUUUUGGGGAAAAAAUUUAAGUACCGCCCCGUGGUUUCACACUUUCUCAUUUAGUGCCCCGUGGCUUAAAAUAUAUCAAUUUAGUACUCUAUGAUUUCAUUUUUAUCUUUUUAUUAUCGAUUUUACUAUUUUUUUUAUUAAAUUAGUGACAAAAUUAAAAUUAAAAAGUACUAAAGUAAAUAUUUAAUAAACCUAGAUCGGGUAUCUGAAGUUUUUUGUAUAUAAUUUAAUAAAAUAUUAACGAAAAGACUAACGAAAAGAUAAAAAUGAAACCAUAGGACACUAACUCUAUACACUUUAAACCAUAUGGUACUAAAGUGAGAAAAUGCGAAACCAUAGGAGUGAUAUUUGAAGUUUACCAAUUUUUUUAGAGAGAAAGGUAGCAUGCUACCCGCUUCAUUUUAUUUCUUUUAAAAAUAAACUUAGCUGAAAAUAUGAAUCAACUAGGAUUCAAACUUGGGAUAUCGGGUACCAACCACCAAACUCUUUGCCACUUGUGCUAGGAACAGCCGGUGUAUAGGUACAAAGUUAACCGGUAGAAAUGAAAUGUGUGAAACUUAUCUAAAUUAUGGUCUGAUUUUUAAUUUGAUUGUAUAAAUUUUAGGUAAAAAUAUAUACAAUUUAUAUAAACUAUAGGCGAUUUUAAUUCGACUACUCGAUCUUUCAAAUUUUUAAUUUUAAUACCCUAUAUUUUAAUUUAUUUAAUUUAAAUAAUUUGAUGGCUCUUCAAUAUAAAAUUUAAACUAGUUGUUUACUUUAAUGAAUUUAUAAUUACGUAAAUUGUAUAUAAUAUACUAACUAAAUGUGUAAAGAUAAAUGACGCAUUUAAAUUUGAAGUUAAAAAAUUACUAAUUAGCCCAAAUCAAAUAAAGUAAA